rnacentral:misc_RNA from 1 species
AUCAUCAAUUGGAUUUUCCGCUAGGAGGUCUGCUAUCACGCUUCCUUUCACCGCCUUCUUUGUCAUAUGACAAUGUCAUAUUGUGAGAGUAUGACUUAUUACUUUGCUAUUCUACCAAAUACAAAUGGGCUUUCAAAGACAUUUAAUCGGAUCUAUCCUGGAGAUGAGCCACGUUUUGUAGUUCAACAUGUAGUGCUUAAGCCGAUUUGCUGUCCAAGCCAAUGCACAACAAGCCUUUUCUACAAAUAAAUA